AGCUUGCUCUUAUGAAGUUAGCGGCGGACGGGUGAGUAACACGUGGGUAACCUGCCCAUAAGACUGGGAUAACUCCGGGAAACCGGGGCUAAUACCGGAUAACAUUUUGAACCGCAUGGUUCGAAAUUGAAAGGCGGCUUCGGCUGUCACUUAUGGAUGGACCCGCGUCGCAUUAGCUAGUUGGUGAGGUAACGGCUCACCAAGGCAACGAUGCGUAGCCGACCUGAGAGGGUGAUCGGCCACACUGGGACUGAGACACGGCCCAGACUCCUACGGGAGGCAGCAGUAGGGAAUCUUCCGCAAUGGACGAAAGUCUGACGGAGCAACGCCGCGUGAGUGAUGAAGGCUUUCGGGUCGUAAAACUCUGUUGUUAGGGAAGAACAAGUGCUAGUUGAAUAAGCUGGCACCUUGACGGUACCUAACCAGAAAGCCACGGCUAACUACGUGCCAGCAGCCGCGGUAAUACGUAGGUGGCAAGCGUUAUCCGGAAUUAUUGGGCGUAAAGCGCGCGCAGGUGGUUUCUUAAGUCUGAUGUGAAAGCCCACGGCUCAACCGUGGAGGGUCAUUGGAAACUGGGAGACUUGAGUGCAGAAGAGGAAAGUGGAAUUCCAUGUGUAGCGGUGAAAUGCGUAGAGAUAUGGAGGAACACCAGUGGCGAA
rnacentral:rRNA from 1 species